rnacentral:rRNA from 1 species
AUUGAACGCUGGCGGCAGGCCUAACACAUGCAAGUCGAGCGGAUGAAGGGAGCUUGCUCCUGGAUUCAGCGGCGGACGGGUGAGUAAUGCCUAGGAAUCUGCCUGGUAGUGGGGGAUAACGUCCGGAAACGGGCGCUAAUACCGCAUACGUCCUGAGGGAGAAAGUGGGGGAUCUUCGGACCUCACGCUAUCAGAUGAGCCUAGGUCGGAUUAGCUAGUUGGUGGGGUAAAGGCCUACCAAGGCGACGAUCCGUAACUGGUCUGAGAGGAUGAUCAGUCACACUGGAACUGAGACACGGUCCAGACUCCUACUGGAGGCAGCAGUGGGGAAUAUUGGACAAUGGGCGAAAGCCUGAUCCAGCCAUGCCGCGUGUGUGAAGAAGGUCUUCGGAUUGUAAAGCACUUUAAGUUGGGAGGAAGGGCAGUGAGUUAAUACCUUGCUGUUUUGACGUUACCAACAGAAUAAGCACCGGCUAACUUCGUG